rnacentral:rRNA from 1 species
AUUGAACGCUGGCGGCAGGCCUAACACAUGCAAGUCGAGCGAGCGGCGGACGGGAGUGUAAUGUCUGGGAAACUGCCAUAUGGGGGGGGAUAAAUACUGAAAAGGGUAGCUAAUACCGCAUACCCUGCUGUGUGCCCAUAGGGGAUUAGCUUGUAGGUGGGGUAAGGGCUCACCUAGGCGAAGCUCCCUAGCUGGUCUGAGAGGAUGACCAGCCACACUGGAACUGAGACACGGUCCAGACUCCUACGGGAGGCAGCAGUGGGGAAUAUUGCACAAUGGGCGCAAGCCUGAUGCAGCCAUGCCGCGUGUGUGAAGAAGGCCUUCGGGUUGUAAAGCACUUUCAGCGAGGAGGCGUUACUCGCAGAAGAAGCACCGGCUAACUCCGUGCCAGCCGCCGCGGUAAUUC